rnacentral:rRNA from 1 species
CAGUAGCCACGGGAACACGAAGGGUGCAAGCGUUUAUCGGAAUUACUGGGCGUAAAGCGUGCGUAGGCGGUGAGUUAAGUCUGCUGUGAAAUCCCCGGGCUCAACCUGGGAAUGGCAGUGGAUACUGGCUCGCUAGAGUGUGUCAGAGGAUGGUGGAAUUCCCGGUGUAGCGGUGAAAUGCGUAGAGAUCGGGAGGAACAUCAGUGGCGAAGGCGGCCAUCUGGGACAACACUGACGCUGAGGCACGAAAGCGUGGGGAGCAAACAGGAUUAGAUACCCGCGUAGUCCCUGUCUCUUAUAC